rnacentral:lncRNA from 1 species
UAAUGCAUCCUCUAAAACGUACGCGAAUCCUAAUUUAUUUAGGAUUUCUACUCUAAUAAAUAUUUAAAUCUUAGUUGAUUUAUCUCUAACAGAUUUAAAUAUUUAUCCUAGUCUAGUUAGAUUCAUACUUUAAUUAAUAUUUAAAUCUUAAUUUAUUUUCAAUAGAUUUAAAUAUUAAUCAUAAUCCAAUUAAGAUUCAACUAUAAAUCUAACCAAAUCCUAACAGAUACAUUUCUCACAGGAAAUUGC